AUUGAACGCUGGCGGCAGGCCUAACACAUGCAAGUCGAACGGUAACAGAAAGCAGCUUGCUGCUUUGCUGACGAGUGGCGGACGGGUGAGUAAUGUCUGGGAAACUGCCUGAUGGAGGGGGAUAACUACUGGAAACGGUAGCUAAUACCGCAUAACGUCGCAAGACCAAAGAGGGGGACCUUCGGGCCUCUUGCCAUCGGAUGUGCCCAGAUGGGAUUAGCUAGUAGGUGGGGUAAAGGCUCACCUAGGCGACGAUCCCUAGCUGGUCUGAGAGGAUGACCAGCCACACUGGAACUGAGACACGGUCCAGACUCCUACGGGAUGCAGCAGUGGGGAAUAUUGCACAAUGGGCGCAAGCCUGAUGCAGCCAUGCCGCGUGUAUGAAGAAGGCCUUCGGGUUGUAAAGUACUUUCAGCGGGGAGGAAGGGAGUAAAGUUAAUACCUUUGCUCAUUGACGUUACCCGCAGAAGAAGCACCGGCUAACUCCGUG
rnacentral:rRNA from 1 species